AACGAACGCUGGCGGCAUGCCUAACACAUGCAAGUCGAACGAGACCUUCGGGUCUAGUGGCGCACGGGUGCGUAACGCGUGGGAAUCUGCCCUUGGGUCCGGAAUAACUCAGAGAAAUUUGAGCUAAUACCGGAUGAUGACGUAAGUCCAAAGAUUUAUCGCCCAGGGAUGAGCCCGCGUAGGAUUAGCUAGUUGGUGAGGUAAAGGCUCACCAAGGCGACGAUCCUUAGCNGGCCUGAGAGGAUGAUCAGCCACACUGGGACUGAGACACGGCCCAGACUCCUACGGGAGGCAGCAGUGGGGAAUAUUGGACAAUGGGCGAAAGCCUGAUCCAGCAAUGCCGCGUGAUGAUGAAGGCCUUAGGGUUGUAAAGCUCUUUUACCCGGGAUGAUAAUGACAGUACCGGGAGAAUAAGCCCCGG
rnacentral:rRNA from 1 species